rnacentral:rRNA from 1 species
GACGAACGCUGGCGGCGUGCCUAACACAUGCAAGUCGAACGAUGAACCCGGAGCUUGCUCCGGUGGAUUAGUGGCGAACGGGUGAGUAACACGUGAGUAACCUGCCCUCGACUCUGGGAUAACUGCGGGAAACUGUAGCUAAUACCGGAUACGACCCUCGGCGGCAUCGCCAGGGGGUGGAAAGAAUUUCGGUCAAGGAUGGACUCGCGGCCUAUCAGCAAGUUGGGGAGGUAACGGCUCACCAAGGCGACGACGGGUAGCCGGCCUGAGAGGGUGGCCGGCCAAACUGGGGCUGAGACAGGGCCCAGAAUCCGACGGGAGGCAGCGGUGGGGACUAUUGCACGAUGGGCGCAAGACUGAUGCAGCAACGCCGCGUGAGUAAUGACGGCCUUCGGGUUGUAAACCUCUGUUAGUAGGGAAGAAGCAAAAGUGACGGUACCUGCAGAAAAAGCACCGGCUAACUACGUGCCAGCCGCCGCGGUAA